rnacentral:lncRNA from 1 species
AUGCUCCUGCAAGCCAUCUCGGAAAGGAGCAGCUUUCACUGCAGGACUGCAUUGAUGUUUCUGAAGAAACCCCCUCGGCAAGCCACGCUGCAAAGGAAUAGUUCCCAGAUCUUGGCAUAUCUGGAUGUACUGCUGCACCCUGAAACCUCUGUGCAGGUGUGGAACUUGAAAACACAUGGGCAGUUUUUCAAGUCACAGAUGACAUCAUCUCCUGAACACGGAGUUGCUGUAGACCUCACCACCGAGGUGAAUUUGUUACUGCCACUCACUAGAGAGAGAAGGAGCUCCCGCACUGUUGGCUGAGGUUACCUGUCCUGUGCCUGUUUGGCUCACAGGGGAUGUGGGACAGAGAUCUGCAGGUGUCUCAGUACUCAGGAGCCUUAUCUCCAAGGAGAUUUUUUUUUUUAAAGAGCUUCUCAGGGAGCUACAGCAUUUCCCCUGUCACAGACAAUGAGUCAUGCAGAGCUGCUUUAACAGAAAAGAAUUUGCAGUAAUCUGGAUGUAAUGGUUUUCUUUCACAGGAAAUAAUGAACAAGAAUUCAGUUCAGCUGUUUAUAACAGCGAUCAGAGGGACUUCUCUGGCUAUUAUGGCAGUUCAGGGUGUAAGGCAGUCCAGUUAACGUGCCAGAAAAGAAAUAAUAAAGAUUUCAAGAGCACAGUCA